GGCCUUGACAUACUAAGAACUUUCCAGAGAUGGAUUGGUGCCUUCGGGAACUUAGAUACAGGUGCUGCAUGGCUGUCGUCAGCUCGUGUCGUGAGAUGUUGGGUUAAGUCCGCAACGAGCGCAACCCUUUUCCUUAUUUGCCAGCGGGUCAUGCCGGGAACUUUAAGGAUACUGCCAGUGACAAACUGGAGGAAGGCGGGGACGACGUCAAGUCAUCAUGGCCCUUACGGCCAGGGCUACACACGUGCUACAAUGGUCGGUACAAAGGGUUGCUACCUCGCGAGAGGAUGCUAAUCUCAAAAAGCCGAUCGUAGUCCGGGUCGCAGUCUGCAACUCGACUGCGUGAAGUCGGAAUCGCUAGUAAUCGCGGAUCAGAAUGCCGCGGUGAAUACGUUCCCGGGCCUUGUACACACCGCCCGUCACACCAUGGGAGUUUGUUGCACCAGAAGUAGGUAGUCUAACCGCAAGGAGGACGCUUACCACGGUGUGGCCGAUGACUGGGGUGAAGUCGUAACAAGGUAAGCGUAGAUGA
rnacentral:rRNA from 1 species